GUCUACAGCCAUGCCACCCUGAACGUGCCUGAUCUUGUCUGAUCUCAGAAGCUAAGCAGGGUCGGGCUUGGUUAGUAUUGGAUGGGAGACCACCUAGGAAGACCAGGUGCUGUUCCCA
rnacentral:rRNA from 1 species